rnacentral:rRNA from 1 species
UACGGGGGGUGCGAGCGUUGUCCGGAAUUACUGGGCGUAAAGGGCGCGUCGGCGGCUUGGCAAGUUGGGCGUGAAAGCCCUGGGCUUAACCCAGGAAUUGCGCUUGAGACUGCCAGGCUUGAGUGCGGGAGAGGUGAGUGGAAUUCCCAGUGUAGAGGUGAAAUUCGUAGAUAUUGGGAAGAACACCAGUGGCGAAGGCGGCUCACUGGCCCGCAACUGACGCUGAGGCGCGAAAGCGUGGGGAGCAAACAGG